GAGGAAUAUUGGUCAAUGGGCGUAAGCCUGAACCAGCCAAGUAGCGUGCAGGAUGACGGCCCUAUGGGUUGUAAACUGCUUUUAUGCGGGGAUAAAGUGCGGGACGUGUCCCGCUUUGCAGGUACCGCAUGAAUAAGGACCGGCUAAUUCCGUGCCAGCAGCCGCGGUAAUACGGAAGGUCCGGGCGUUAUCCGGAUUUAUUGGGUUUAAAGGGAGCGUAGGCCGUGUAUUAAGUGUGUUGUGAAAUGUAGAUGCUCAACAUCUGAACUGCAGCGCAUACUGGUGCACUUGAGUACGCACAACGUAGGCGGAAUUCGUCGUGUAGCGGUGAAAUGCUUAGAUAUGACGAAGAACUCCGAUUGCGAAGGCAGCUUACGGGAGCGCAACUGACGCUGAUGCUCGAAGGUGCGGGUAUCGAAC
rnacentral:rRNA from 1 species